rnacentral:rRNA from 1 species
UACGUAGGUGGCGAGCGUUGUCCGGAUUUACUGGGCGUAAAGAGCGCGCAGGCGGUCGUCCAAGUCGGGUGUGAAAGCCCCCGGCUCAACUGGGGAGGGUCACGCGAUACUGAUCGACUCGAAGGCAGGAGAGGGUAGUGGAAUUCCCGGUGUAGUGGUGAAAUGCGUAGAUAUCGGGAGGAACACCAGUGGCGAAGGCGACUACCUGGCCUGUUCUUGACGCUGAGGCGCGAAAGCUAGGGGAGCAAACGGG